UGGGGAAUAUUGCACAAUGGGCGCAAGCCUGAUGCAGCCAUGCCGCGUGUGUGAAGAAGGCCUUCGGGUUGUAAAGCACUUUCAGCGAGGAGGAAGGGUAGUGUGUUAAUAGCACAUUGCAUUGACGUUACUCGCAGAAGAAGCACCGGCUAACUCCGUGCCAGCAGCCGCGGUAAUACGGAGGGUGCAAGCGUUAAUCGGAAUUACUGGGCGUAAAGCGCACGCAGGCGGUUUGUUAAGUCAGAUGUGAAAUCCCGCGCUUAA
rnacentral:rRNA from 1 species